rnacentral:rRNA from 1 species
AGUGAACGCUGGCGGCAGGCCUAACACAUGCAAGUCGAGCGGAUGAACGGUGCUCGCUCCUCGAUUCAGCUGGCGACUGGCGGGUAAGUCCUAGGAAUCUACCUGGUAAUUGGGGCUAGGGUCCUGACGUGGGGGCUAAUACCGUAUCCGCCCAGAGGUUCAAAGGGGGUGAUCUUCGGACCUCACGCCUUUAGAUGACUCUAGGUCGUGUUAGCUAGUUGGUUGGGUAAAGGCCUACCAAGGCGACGAUCCGUAGCUGGUCUGAGAGGCUGAUCAGGCACACUGGAACUGAGACACGGUCCAGACUCCUACGGGAGGCAGCAGUGGGGAAUAUUGGACAAUGGGCGAAAGCCUGAUCCAGCCAUGCCGCGUGUGUGAAGAAGGUCUUCGGAUUGUAAAGCCCUUUUAGUUGGGAAGAAGAGCAGUAAGUUAAUACCUCGCUGUUUUGACGGUACCCAAAGAAUAAGCACCGGCUAACUUCGUG